CAUUGUUUUGUAUUUUUUUAAAUUACUCUGUGUUAACCGUAACUUUUAACAUUAUAUAUUCUGCAAAUCCUGACUCGUGAUGCAGAAAUGAAUUGGAAGACAACACAGUCUUCGAAAGGUAUGGAUGUAUGUAUUUAUUCUGAAAGGGUGUUGUCUGGUUUUAGAUUGAGUAAGGCCACAUAAAAUAAAUUCCUUGAUUCUCAUCACUACACUUUGAAAAUGUCGAAGAGCCGGGAGGUUUAUAUUUUAUAUUUAUAUAAUUUAUCAUCAAUAAAUAAAAAAAAUAAUUCCUAACAUUUAAUAUUUCUGUGAUUUCCAAAGUAAAGUAUCACAAACCGAAAUAAACAUAUUUCUCCACGAACAAUGACUGAACCCUUCAACUGAAUGCGAAGUUCCGUUAAAAUGCAAUGAAAUUUCUUUCAAGGUUCUAUUUGUUUGAAAUUGGCAGUUUAAAAUGGCAAUAAAAACCCAAUUUUAAAUAUAAAAAACUUAACUGUCUUGAAAUAUUUGUCGGGCGGUACAUUUAUAUUGUAUAACAAAAUAUAAAAAAAUUUCACGCGGCUCUUAAAAUACAGUCGGGCGGUGAUGAGAAUCAAGGAAUUUAUUUUAUGUGGCCUAAAAUAGGGUGAAUUG